AUGAAGGAAUUUUCUGUAUUGAUUUUUCACAGGUGUUUAGCCCAUGUUUUGAAUUGCACAUUGAUGAGAUGUGUUGUGUUUAAAGUUGAGGAAAAUGUCUGUAAACUUAACAGAAAAGGUACUGGUAUUUUCUGCCAGGACGUGAUCUGUUUUUCUACUGAUUUUUUUCUUACAGUGUUAUUAGUAUUGAUGUGUGUACUCCUUUUUUUAAUAGAAACAGAGGCAAACUUCGAGCAUCUAAACUUUGAUGAUGACGCAGCAACUGCACACAGCAUUAAUGUACUUCAAAAUGAGCCAGACAUGGAGAAGGACUCUGAUUCUGACAUAGAUUUAGAGUGGACGAAUAGGGAAGAGGAAACUAAGCACUGUUUUGAGAACAAUGGGAACUUCUCUUUAGAUGAACAAAGCAUGAAGGCAGGAUCUACGCUUUGUGGUUCAUGGGACGACAACGAUGCAGUCGAAAAUAAGACACAAACCCAAAACCAGCGAUUAAGCUUCCAUGAAGAGGAUAGCAUAAAGAAUGAAUUUGAGAUACAUGAAGAUAUCCAUCAAAUGAGCAAGGAACAAUCUGAAGAUGACAAUGUGCUGGAAAUGGUUCUCCCAAAAGGAACUCACUAUGAUCUGGAUACAAUGAGCGCAUGGACUCAGGAGGAGACCACAUCUCAUCUACUGGGCUACCUGAUGGUGGAUAAAUCUGAAAAUGAGAGCUCAACAUUAAAAGAGGAAAGAAUGGAGCCUGACAGCACUGAGGAACAUGUUCUUCAGCAUGCAGCAGAUGAUAAGCAGCUCAGUCAUUUAGGUGCCAUACAGUCAACAUUACAAGACUGGCCAGUAGCAUCAGCAGGGGUUCAGUCUAUGGAUGAGUUAAAAGAGUUUACAGAAGAAGAUCAUGAGGACCGUGAGAGAGACGAGGAAGGUUUAGCAGAGUAUCCCUCUGAUCUGUCUCAAAGUGACAGUGGGGACAGCAGUGAAGGACAACCCAAUCACAUGGACACCAAGCAAGCUGAGGUGCAGGCUGUAGGCCCAGCAGAACAUCUCCUGCCUUACAGUGUUGUAACUUCAAGGGAAGAUGAUGAUGUCCAAAAGAAAGCUGAAUGUAUGGAUCCUGCAGACAUGCUCACUUAUGUCAAGAAUGAGGAUCUGUAUGUGGAGACAACAACUGGGAAAUCUGAUGAUGACAUCUUGUUCCAAACAGAUGUUGAAUAUCAUCGUGAGAUUUCAAACAUUGGGGAAAGUUCUGAUUAUGGAAUCUCUGAGAAUUUCCAAUCCAAUUCCAAUGAAUCCUACAUGAAUGAGCACCCUGACUAUGACAGUGAUUUCAGCAGUGAUGGUGACGACUACUGCAAAAACCAAGAAGAUACACCUGAUUUCAUUUCACAUACUGACUCAGAGGACAAAAACACACACAACUUCACAAAGGACUUUGCUACAGACUGGCACAGUAUUGAGCAUGAAGUAAAGGAUGGGGUGGUCAAAAAUAGCUUGAAACCAGAGAUGUGUGAUGUAGAAGGUUUAUCAAGCAUUCCAGCAUCUCGUGGAACUGUAAUGGAAGGUUCUUCUGAGACUGAUUCACCUGAAAACGUAAGUGUUGGUGAGUCACAUCCAUCAGUGAAAACAGACCAGAACAACAAAGAACAUAACAGUGAACAUUCAGAAGUUUCAGACACUGGAGAUAUAAAUAUCAACACUUUGUUACCUGAGACGUUUUGGUCCCAGGACAUUCUGAAGCUUGAUGAAUAUGAUUGGGACAUUAAUGGAGAAGAGAUGAUCUGUGAUGAAGAGGACAAUUACCUGGAAGAGCUGGAGAACGAUGGGGAGGAGACCGAGAGGGACUGGGAGAUAGAAAAGGCAAGAAUUGAAGCAUUUAACAGAUACUACGAGUCUGUCGAAGGCGAGGAAACCAAGGGGAGGAGCCACAAAGUGACAUUUUGUUUGGAGCCAGAAUCCUCUCAGUAUGAGGAGGAUAGUUACAGCAGUGAAGAGGAACCGAGCACAAUAGGUUGCAUCAGUGAGUUGCAUCCUCCAGAAUCCAGUUCAAUCAAACAAGACCAAAGCAACAAGGAAGACAGCCGUGAACCCUCACACAUCAGAGAAAAUAUCAGCACCCUUCUGAUGGAUGAGGACAACAUGAAAAUUGAGGAUUAUGACUGUGAUAUUAAUGAAGAAGUUCAACAGAACUCAAGUAUAAUGAUCGAUGAUGACGAUCACGAUUUCCUGGAGAAGCUGAAAAUUGAAAUAGAGAGGCAUAUGAAGCAGGAACAAGCAAGAAGUGACGCAUCUAACAGAUAUUAUGAAGAGGACCAAAAUGAGGUCACAGACAGGACCCAAAAAGUAAUGUUAAGAUUUCGCCAACAAUCUUCUCAAAAUGAGGAAGAUAAUGAUAGCAGUGAACAGGAAUCAAACACAGAAGAUGACACUGUCAGCAUCCUGAGGACUGAGGACCAAAGUGAUUCUGAUGAACCAACUGAGAGACGCUUGUACACAGGAAGGUACAAAGUCUUACAAAAGGGGUUACAAAAGGCAGACAAGCAGCCGAAGGAACAGCCCAAGAGAAAUAAGUGUCUUGUCCUGCUGCAUUCAGUGUUAGCAGUGAGUCUAGCGACGACGGUGGGUGUGCUGUCUUACUGGUGGGCCACAGACAGCCUGGACUGGAUCUACUGA
ensembl:lncRNA